rnacentral:pre_miRNA from 1 species
CGUGCACUGGUGGGGUCCCUCGGCCUGGCCUGCGCCCUCUCACAAUCCAGGACCCCUUGGGGGAGGUUGGAUUGCCAGUUUCGGCCCAAUCCGCGCAGGCCAGGCUGAGGGACCCCAUCAGUGCACA